AGUGCUGAAAACACACUGUUUGUUAGGAGAGAGUGUUUGGCAUCUGUGGGAAACUUCGUUCUGCUGUUGAUCCACUGCCUGGCCCACAUCGCUGCCGGGGACGUCCACCAGGACUCCAGCCUGUCUUUCUGAGGUCAUUUUAUGAGGGGCUGAAAGCGUAUUUCAAGGACGCGUUCUCCAUCACACUGCGAAUGUCAACAAUCUCCUGGGACAGUGAGUUUGACCAAAGCAUGAGUGCUAUUCUGCAGGAAGAGCAGUCCGUCUCGGAGAAGCAAUGAGAUCUUCUCUCUAAACUCUUUGAAAUGAAGCAUGAGUCUUGCUUGGAGCUAGAAUCGUCAGAAAAGUACAUUAAGAAAAACGAAGAUCUUUUCCUCUACACCAAUAUGGAACAUUUUCUGAAAAGCAUACUCGGUGCAGAACAACAGAUGCUAAGAAAACCGAGAGAUCAAUUUAAGAGUGAAGAAAAG